GCUGGGUGUGGUGGCUCACACCUGUAAUCCCAGCACUUUGGGAGGCUGAGGUGGGUGGAUGACUUGAGGCCAGGAGUUCUAGACCAGCUUGGCCAACAUGGUGAAAUCUCAUCUCUACUAAAAAUACAAAAAUUAGCUGGGAGUGGUGGUGGUCGCCUGUAAUCCCAGCUACUUGGGAGGCUGAAGCAGGAGAAUUGCUUGAAUCCAGGCGGCCGAGUUUGCAGUGAGCUGAGAUCAUGCUACUGCAUUCCAGCCUGGGCAACAGAGCAAGAUUCUAUCUCA
rnacentral:sRNA from 1 species